GGAUGUGAGGGCGAUCUGGCUGCAACAUCUGUCACUCCAUUGAUCGCCAGGAUUGAUUCGGCUCAUCCGGCUGGCUAGGCGGGUGUCCCCUUCCUCCCUCACCGCUCCAUGUGCGUCCCUCCCGAAGCUGUGCGUUCAGUCAAAGAGGACGACCUUCCCCGCUAGAGGAGGACGGGUCUUUGGUCAAGGGUAUACGAGUAGCUGUGCUCCCCUGCUAGAACCUCCAAACAAGCUCCCAAAAGAACUAUUUACCAGUUAAUCUUUGUUCCCCCAUCCAUUCAUCCUCCCUGGUAAU
rnacentral:snRNA from 1 species